rnacentral:rRNA from 1 species
UGGCUCAGGAUGAACGCUAGCGGCAGGCCUAAUACAUGCAAGUCGAACGGGCUCUGAGCGAUCAGAGUUAGUGGCGCACGGGUGCGUAACGCGUACACAACAUACCCUUGACAGGGGGAUAGCGGUGGGAAACUGCCAGUAAUACCCCAUAGUCUCACGGGUCGGCAUCGGUUUGUGAGUAAAGUUACGGCGGUCAAGGAUUGGUGUGCGGCCGAUUAGCUAGUUGGUAGGUAACGCCUACAAGGCGACGAUCGGUAGCUGGUCUGAGAGGAUGAUCAGCCACACUGGAACUGAGACACGGUCCAGACUCCUACGGGAGCAGCAGUGAGGAAUAUUGGGCAAUGCCCGAAAGGGUGACCCAGCAACGCCGCG